rnacentral:rRNA from 1 species
CCUACGGGGCGCAGCAGUAGGGAAUCUUCCACAAUGGGCGAAAGCCUGAUGGAGCAACGCCGCGUGGGUGAAGAAGGUCUUCGGAGCGUAAAACCCUGUUGUCAGAGAAGAAAGUGCGUGUGAGUAACUGUUCACGUUUCGACGGUAUCUAACCAGAAAGCCACGGCUAACUACGUGCCAGCAGCCGCGGUAAUACGUAGGUGGCAAGCGUUAUCCGGAUUUAUUGGGCGUAAAGGGAACGCAGGCGGUCUUUUAAGUCUGAUGUGAAAGCCUUCGGCUUAACCGGAGGAGUGCAUUGGAAACUGGGAGACGUGAGUGCAGAAGAGGAGAGUGGAACUCCAUGUGUAGCGGUGAAAUGCGUAGAUAUAUGGAAGAACACCAGUGGCGAAGGCGGCUCUCUGGUCUGUAACUGACGCUGAGGUUCGAAAGCGUGGGUAGCAAACAGGAUUAGAUACCCCUGUAGUC